rnacentral:rRNA from 1 species
GACGAACGCUGGCGGCGUGCUUAACACAUGCAAGUCGAGCGGUAAGGCCCUUUCGGGGGUACACGAGCGGCGAACGGGUGAGUAACACGUGGGUGACCUGCCUUUAGCUCUGGGAUAAGCCUGGGAAACCGGGUCUAAUACCGGAUAUGACUCCGCGGCGCAUGUUGUGGGGUGGAAAGCCUUGUGCGGCUGGAGAUGGGCCCGCGGCCUAUCAGCUUGUUGGUGGGGUGAUGGCCUACCAAGGCGACGACGGGUAGCCGGCCUGAGAGGGCGACCGGCCACACUGGGACUGAGACACGGCCCAGACUCCUACGGGAGGCAGCAGU